GUUGACCUCGAUUCAGGUAGGGAUACCCGU
rnacentral:rRNA from 1 species